rnacentral:rRNA from 1 species
UGGGGAAUAUUGCGCAAUGGGGGGAACCCUGACGCAGCCAUGCCGCGUGAAUGAAGAAGGCCUUCGGGUUGUAAAGUUCUUUCGGUAUUGAGGAAGGUUGAUGUGUUAAUAGCACAUCAAAUUGACGUUAAAUACAGAAGAAGCACCGGCUAACUCCGUGCCAGCAGCCGCGGUAAUACGGAGGGCGCGAGCGUUAAUCGGAAUAACUGGGCGUAAAGGGCACGCAGGCGGUUAUUUAAGUGAGGUGUGAAAGCCCUGGGCUUAACCUAGGAAUUGCAUUUCGGACUGGGUAACUAGAGUACUUUAGGGAGGGGUAGAAUUCCACGUGUAGCGGUGAAAUGCGUAGAGAUGUGGGGGAAUACCGAAGGCGAAGGCAGCCCCUUGGGAAUGUACUGACGCUCAUGUGCGAAAGCGUGGGGAGCAAACAGGAUUAGAUACCCUGGUAGUCCACGCUGUAAACGCUGUCGAUUUGGGGAUUGGGCUUAGAGCUUGGUGCCCGUAGCUAACGUGAUAAAUCGACCGCCUGGGGAGUACGGCCGCAAGGUUA